rnacentral:tRNA from 1 species
GGUGAGAUGUCCGAGAGGCUUAAGGAGCAUGCUUGGAAAGUAUGUAUAUGAUAAAAACGUAUCAAGGGUUCGAAUCCCUUUCUCACCA